UUCUUCAGGGUUGGGUGCAAUUCCCUACUGGCGGUAAAGUCCGCGACCCGAGAGAAGGCAAAGAAUGCUUCUCAAGGCUGAUUCGGUGAAACUCCGGAACCAACAGUAAAGUCUGGAUGAAAGAAGAA
rnacentral:ncRNA from 1 species